GGGUUGUGAGGUUAAGCGACUAAGCGUACACGGUGGAUGCCCUGGCAGUCAGAGGCGAUGAAGGACGUGCUAAUCUGCGAUAAGCGUCGGUAAGGUGAUAUGAACCGUUAUAACCGGCGAUUUCCGAAUGGGGAAACCCAGUGUGAUUCGUCACACUAUCAUUAACUGAAUCCAUAGGUUAAUGAGGCGAACCGGGGGAACUGAAACAUCUAAGUACCCCGAGGAAAAGAAAUCAACCGAGAUUCCCCAAGUAGCGGCGAGCGAACGGGGAGCAGCCCAGAGCCUGAAUCAGUGUGUGUGUUAGUGGAAGCGUCUGGAAAGGCGCGCGAUACAGGGUGACAGCCCCGUACACAAAAAUGCACAUGCUGUGAGCUCGAUGAGUAGGGCGGGACACGUGGUAUCCUGUCUGAAUAUGGGGGGACCAUCCUCCAAGGCUAAAUACUCCUGACUGACCGAUAGUGAACCAGUACCGUGAGGGAAAGGCGAAAAGAACCCCGGCGAGGGGAGUGAAAAAGAACCUGAAACCGUGUACGUACAAGCAGUGGGAGCACGCUUAGGCGUGUGACUGCGUACCUUUUGUAUAAUGGGUCAGCGACUUAUAUUCUGUAGCAAGGUUAACCGAAUAGGGGAGCCGAAGGGAAACCGAGUCUUAACUGGGCGUUAAGUUGCAGGGUAUAGACCCGAAACCCGGUGAUCUAGCCAUGGGCAGGUUGAAGGUUGGGUAACACUAACUGGAGGACCGAACCGACUAAUGUUGAAAAAUUAGCGGAUGACUUGUGGCUGGGGGUGAAAGGCCAAUCAAACCGGGAGAUAGCUGGUUCUCCCCGAAAGCUAUUUAGGUAGCGCCUCGUGAAUUCAUCUCCGGGGGUAGAGCACUGUUUCGGCAAGGGGGUCAUCCCGACUUACCAACCCGAUGCAAACUGCGAAUACCGGAGAAUGUUAUCACGGGAGACACACGGCGGGUGCUAACGUCCGUCGUGAAGAGGGAAACAACCCAGACCGCCAGCUAAGGUCCCAAAGUCAUGGUUAAGUGGGAAACGAUGUGGGAAGGCCCAGACAGCCAGGAUGUUGGCUUAGAAGCAGCCAUCAUUUAAAGAAAGCGUAAUAGCUCACUGGUCGAGUCGGCCUGCGCGGAAGAUGUAACGGGGCUAAACCAUGCACCGAAGCUGCGGCAGCGACACUAUGUGUUGUUGGGUAGGGGAGCGUUCUGUAAGCCUGUGAAGGUGUACUGUGAGGUAUGCUGGAGGUAUCAGAAGUGCGAAUGCUGACAUAAGUAACGAUAAAGCGGGUGAAAAGCCCGCUCGCCGGAAGACCAAGGGUUCCUGUCCAACGUUAAUCGGGGCAGGGUGAGUCGACCCCUAAGGCGAGGCCGAAAGGCGUAGUCGAUGGGAAACAGGUUAAUAUUCCUGUACUUGGUGUUACUGCGAAGGGGGGACGGAGAAGGCUAUGUUGGCCGGGCGACGGUUGUCCCGGUUUAAGCGUGUAGGCUGGUUUUCCAGGCAAAUCCGGAAAAUCAAGGCUGAGGCGUGAUGACGAGGCACUACGGUGCUGAAGCAACAAAUGCCCUGCUUCCAGGAAAAGCCUCUAAGCAUCAGGUAACAUCAAAUCGUACCCCAAACCGACACAGGUGGUCAGGUAGAGAAUACCAAGGCGCUUGAGAGAACUCGGGUGAAGGAACUAGGCAAAAUGGUGCCGUAACUUCGGGAGAAGGCACGCUGAUAUGUAGGUGAAGUCCCUCGCGGAUGGAGCUGAAAUCAGUCGAAGAUACCAGCUGGCUGCAACUGUUUAUUAAAAACACAGCACUGUGCAAACACGAAAGUGGACGUAUACGGUGUGACGCCUGCCCGGUGCCGGAAGGUUAAUUGAUGGGGUCAGCGCAAGCGAAGCUCUUGAUCGAAGCCCCGGUAAACGGCGGCCGUAACUAUAACGGUCCUAAGGUAGCGAAAUUCCUUGUCGGGUAAGUUCCGACCUGCACGAAUGGCGUAAUGAUGGCCAGGCUGUCUCCACCCGAGACUCAGUGAAAUUGAACUCGCUGUGAAGAUGCAGUGUACCCGCGGCAAGACGGAAAGACCCCGUGAACCUUUACUAUAGCUUGACACUGAACAUUGAGCCUUGAUGUGUAGGAUAGGUGGGAGGCUUUGAAGUGUGGACGCCAGUCUGCAUGGAGCCGACCUUGAAAUACCACCCUUUAAUGUUUGAUGUUCUAACGUGGACCCGUGAUCCGGGUUGCGGACAGUGUCUGGUGGGUAGUUUGACUGGGGCGGUCUCCUCCUAAAGAGUAACGGAGGAGCACGAAGGUUGGCUAAUCCUGGUCGGACAUCAGGAGGUUAGUGCAAUGGCAUAAGCCAGCUUGACUGCGAGCGUGACGGCGCGAGCAGGUGCGAAAGCAGGUCAUAGUGAUCCGGUGGUUCUGAAUGGAAGGGCCAUCGCUCAACGGAUAAAAGGUACUCCGGGGAUAACAGGCUGAUACCGCCCAAGAGUUCAUAUCGACGGCGGUGUUUGGCACCUCGAUGUCGGCUCAUCACAUCCUGGGGCUGAAGUAGGUCCCAAGGGUAUGGCUGUUCGCCAUUUAAAGUGGUACGCGAGCUGGGUUUAGAACGUCGUGAGACAGUUCGGUCCCUAUCUGCCGUGGGCGCUGGAGAAUUGAGGGGGGCUGCUCCUAGUACGAGAGGACCGGAGUGGACGCAUCACUGGUGUUCGGGUUGUCAUGCCAAUGGCACUGCCCGGUAGCUAAAUGCGGAAGAGAUAAGUGCUGAAAGCAUCUAAGCACGAAACUUGCCCCGAGAUGAGUUCUCCCUGACUCCUUGAGAGUCCUGAAGGAACGUUGAAGACGACGACGUUGAUAGGCCGGGUGUGUAAGCGCAGCGAUGCGUUGAGCUAACCGGUACUAAUGAACCGUGAGGCUUAACCUUACAACGCCGAAGGUGUUU
rnacentral:rRNA from 1 species